rnacentral:rRNA from 1 species
UGAGCAACCUGCCCCAGACUCAGGGAUAACCCCGGGGAAACCGGGGCUAAUACCCGAUACUCCGAUCGAACCACAUGGCUUGAUCGGGGAAAGCUCCGACGGUCUGAGAUGGGCCCGCGGCCUAUCAGCUUGUUGGUGGGGUAACGGCCUACCAAGGCGACGACGGGUAGCUGGUCUGAGAGGACGACCUGCCACACUGGAACUGAGAUACGGUCCAGACUCCGUACGGGAG